rnacentral:rRNA from 1 species
CUAAUACCGGAUACGACCACUCCUUGCAUGAGGUGGUGGUGGAAAGUUUUUUCGGCCAGGGAUGUGCUCGCGGCCUAUCAGCUUGUUGGUGGGGUAAUGGCCUACCAAGGCUUCGACGGGUAGCCGGCCUGAGAGGGUGACCGGCCACACUGGGACUGAGACACGGCCCAGACUCCUACGGGAGGCAGCAGUGGGGAAUAUUGGACAAUGGGCGGAAGCCUGAUCCAGCAACGCCGCGUGAGGGAUGACGGCCUUCGGGUUGUAAACCUCUUUCAGUACCGACGAAGCGCCGAUGAUGGUGGUGACGGUAGGUACAGAAGAAGCACCGGCCAACUACGUG